UUCACAAUAAUUUAAUAUCAGAUAUCAGUUAGAUUCAGCUUCGGACACAAGUUCCAGGUACUGAUCGAGAAGGAGUGGAUCAGCUUCGGACACAAGCUGACCUCGCGUGUCGGCCUUGGAGAUGAGAAUCACGCCAACUCGGAACGAUCCCCUCUCUUUGUGCAGUUCAUCGACUGUGUGUGGCAGAUGAUGAGACAGGUCAGCUACUGAUGCUUUACACCACAACACUGUUGAAUUCUCCAAUCUGAUUGGUCAGAAGGCGUUGGAGACAUUUCUGGAACAGCAAGAUUCUGAUUCCAGCUGCAAGGGAAAUUACAGCUUUAUAGUGAUGUGCUCGUUCUCGUUCCUAUAGUAACAGCUCAUUGACGGGGUCUAGUAUGGCGUACGCAAUACAUAUUCUAAGCUUAAUCGUAAACAUAUUAUAAACAUGUCACUUAAAGAAAAAGACGUAUGAUCAUUGUGAUCUAGUUAAGAUUUAUAAGUUAUCUAUUUAUGCAAGUUUUAUGGAAAUAUUCUCCAGUGUCACGGCAGAGAGGACAUUGCACUUUCCAGUUUCUCAGUAACAUUGCAAGUCUUAAUUUCAAGAGUUAGGGGGAAAAAAAGAGAGGUUUGUGAGGGAACUAUUGUUUUAUUUUAAUGUUAUAAAGUAAGAGAUCAUAAUGAGAACUAACUCUCUUUUCCAGGACAUUCCAAAUUGUUCUUUGGCUAUGCCCCAUGUUUGUGCAAUGGUUCAGACCGGUUUUUCCUCUUUUCGCAGCUUCAAAAUGGCUUGCUUUUCUCCCAUAGACAGCUCUCUGGUCUUCAUGUCGGUUUAUUCUUUUUAACAACAAAUGCUGUCUCCACAGGUGAAACCCAGGGCUCAAACCAAGAGAAGACAUUCAGAGCUAUUCAUUCUUUAAAGUCCAUUUAACGAGGUACACCUGGCCAGCAAGAAAAAAACAUCAGUCACUCGUUCCAGUAUUUUUGAACAGUUAAUGAAUAGGGUGGCUUCAAAAAAGCUGCCAUAUUUUAAUCUGUGUAACACGUCUAGAUGUAAAUAUGAGGAAAUGAAAGCUGAAAUUCUGAUCUAUCGUCUCAUAUUCGUCUUUUAUCUCAAACCCAAAUGUCUUCAGUAUAUAGCAAAAGCAAUAGAAUUGGCCUUGAUGUUCCAAUACUUUUGAAGAGGACUCUAAUUGUAAGAAAUAAAUAUAAUUUCCGUACUGAACAAAAGACUGAUUAUCUGUUCAGGCGUUAUUGUGCAGAUCCACAUUUAAGCAUCUUACUAUACACUGUUAAACCCAGUGUUUGUGUUCUU